AUUGAACGCUGGCGGCAGGCUUAACACAUGCAAGUCGAGCGAGCGGCGGACGGGUGAGUAAUGUCUGGGAAACUGCCUGAUGGAGGGGGAUAACUACUGGAAACGGUAGCUAAUACCGCAUACCAUCAGAUGUGCCCAGAUGGGAUUAGCUAGUAGGUGGGGUAAUGGCUCACCUAGGCGACGAUCCCUAGCUGGUCUGAGAGGAUGACCAGCCACAGUGGAACGGAGACACGGUCCAGACGCCUACGUGAGGCAGCAGGGGGGAAUAUGGCACAAUGGGCGAAAGCCUGAUGCAGCCAUGCCGCGUGUGAGAAGAAGGCCUUCGGGUUGUAAAGCACUUGCAGCGAGGAGGCGUGACUCGCAGAAGAAGCACCGGCGAACUCCGUGCAAGCAGCCGCGGUAAUG
rnacentral:rRNA from 1 species